CCACCCGCCUCAGUCUUCCAAUGUGCUGGGAUUACAGGGGUGAAACACUACACCCAGCCUCCUUUAGUGAUAAUUUUUAUAGCAAAAGAUGAUUUGGUUAAAUAAGUUAGAAUACUUUUUAAAAAAAUUGUUAAGAGGCAGUGUCUCGCUCUGUUGCCCAGACUGGAGUGCAGUGGGCUAAUCAUAGCUCAUUGCAGCCUCGAACUCCUGGGCUCAAGUGAUCCUCCCGCCUCAGCCUCCUGAAUAGCUUAGACUACAGAUGUGUGCCAUCACACCCAGCUACUUUUUUUUUUUUUUAAUAGAGACGGGGUCUUGCUCUGUUUCCCAGGUUCAGUUAGAAGCAGAUUUUUUUUAAGUAAAAUUAUCUUGUAAGUUUGAAUAAGCUGGGAAUUCAGAUCAUUUUAUUGUCACCUUUCUUUGCCUUGAAAAAUUAAGAUGUAUAGUCACCAGUUCAAAAUUUAAAAAGAAAAGAAAAAUUAAGAUGCCCUCUAACAUAGGAAGAUUAAGUGAAUUUGUAUCAAAUUAAAAUCCCUAUAGGAAGAAAUAUAAGAAAAAGAGGUCUAAGAAGAGCAGAAAAGAGUCCAGUGAUUCAAGCUCUAAAGAAUCCCAAGAAGAGUUUCUGGAAAAUCCCUGGAAGGAUCGAACAAAGGCUGAAGAACCAUCAGAUUUAAUUGGCCCAGAGGCUCCAAAAACACUUACCUCUCAAGAUGAUAAACCUUUGAACUAUGGCCAUGCUCUGUUACCUGGUGAAGGUGCAGCUAUGG
rnacentral:sRNA from 1 species